rnacentral:rRNA from 1 species
CCCGGUGACCAUACCUGGGGGGAAACACCCGUUCCCAUCCCGAACACGGCCGUUAAGCCCCCAGGGCCGAUGAUAGUGGCUACCGCCGCGAAAGUAGGUUAUCGCCGGGU